ACCAUGUAAAUAGCAGCAACCACAGCAUUGCCAGCUGCAUCUGAUCAGUACUCCUUCCCUACCACUAAUAAUAACACUGCAAUCUCAUCUCAUCUCCACCGACAGCCUUUCCUUCUGAUCAUACAUUAUAUAUACUUUCUGCCAAAUAUUCCACCAAUACCUAGCUAGGCUAGGACCCACUUACCUAUCGUCACGUGCCUCACGUGCAUCACAUUUCAUAUCGUGAUGGGAUCAUGAUGAGUACAGUGCUAUUUAUGGAGAGAGAGAGUCAAGAAACAUGCACACGCGCCGCCUUCAUCUUGUAUCCAUCUGUUCCUAUGCCGCGAGAAAUUGCAUGUUAAUGGUGCAUUUGUGGCGCUGAGUAUCGAUCAGGCUGCAUGGUGAGGUGUCCAGAGAAAUCAACCACUUGGGAACCCCUUGGACUGUACAUAUUGCUCAUUUUUAUUAACUUAUUCGACCAUCAACUCUCUCUCUCCCUCUCUCCCCCACCCACACGCACGCUUGUUGGGGAGAUAUCGAUCGAGUGAAAAUGGAUGGACAUGGAUAGCGUAAAAAAGGAGGCAUCAGCAUCAGCAUCAGCAUCAGCAUCAGCUGUCAGCAAAAGUUUCUUUAUCUCAUAAUCAAUUAGAAAUUAAACAACUGUUUGUAGCUCCUAGCUAGGUUGAAGUUUGGCAAAAGCAAGUAAACUUAAAACUUAAAAGGAAGAUUCCAUCCUCUCAAAUCGUUAUUAGCUUGUCAGAAAUCACACGCACAAAGCCACUCUAUGAUACCGCAAUAUCACCGGUUAAUCGGAUGCCCUAUUAUUAGAUUUUUUUUUUCCUUGUUUGUUUCUUCCAAUGUGGAUUAUAUUUGAUAUCCGCUGCUUCUUAA